rnacentral:rRNA from 1 species
CCUACGGGUGGCAGCAGUGGGGAAUAUUGCACAAUGGGCGCAAGCCUGAUGCAGCCAUGCCGCGUGUGUGAAGAAGGCCUUCGGGUUGUAAAGCACUUUCAGCGGGGAGGAAGGCGUUAAGGUUAAUAACCUUGGCGAUUGACGUUACCCGCAGAAGAAGCACCGGCUAACUCCGUGCCAGCAGCCGCGGUAAUACGGAGGGUGCAGGCGUUAAUCGGAAUUACUGGGCGUAAAGCGCACGCAGGCGGUCUGUCAAGUCGGAUGUGAAAUCCCCGGGCUCAACCUGGGAACUGCAUUCGAAACUGGCAGGCUAGAGUCUUGUAGAGGGGGGUAGAAUUCCAGGUGUAGCGGUGAAAUGCGUAGAGAUCUGGAGGAAUACCGGUGGCGAAGGCGGCCCCCUGGACAAAGACUGACGCUCAGGUGCGAAAGCGUGGGGAGCAAACAGGAUUAGAUACCCGAGUAGUC